GGAUAUGUGCCCGAAAGAUAAGGAUUACUUUGAUAGAGUAAAAGAUAGAGGUUCAAACCCACUCAUAUCUU
rnacentral:tRNA from 1 species